rnacentral:rRNA from 1 species
UACGGGGGGGGCAAGCGUUGUUCGGAAUUACUGGGCGUAAAGGGCUCGUAGGCGGCCAACUAAGUCAGACGUGAAAUCCCUCGGCUUAACCGGGGAACUGCGUCUGAUACUGGAUGGCUUGAGUCCGGGAGAGGUGAGUGGAAUUCCCAGUGUAGCGGUGAAAUGCGUAGAGAUGGUGGAGGAACACCGAUGGCGAAAGCAGCCUCCUGGGCCAGCACUGACGCUCAUGCACGAAAGCGUGGGGAGCAAACAGG